rnacentral:miRNA from 1 species
AGAAGCCUUUGUGGGAGAGGA